rnacentral:rRNA from 1 species
CUACCGUUGGCGGUCUUGCCCGUCAGUGGCGCAGCUAACGCUUUAAGCAUUUCCGCCUGUGGGUAGUACGGUCGCAAGAUUUAAACUCAAAGGAAUUGACGGGGGCCCGCACAAGCGGAGGAGCAUGUGGUUUAAUUCGAAGCAUACGCGCAGAACCUUACCAGCGUUUGACAUGGUAGGACGGUUUCCAGAGAUGGAUUCCUCCCCUUACGGGACUACACACAGGUGCUGCAUGGCUGUCGUCAGCUCGUGUCGUGAGAUGUUGGGUUAAGUCCCGCAACGAGCGCAACCCUCGUCUUUAGUUGCUACCAUUUAGUUGAGCACUUCUAAAGAAACUGCCGGUGAUAAGCCGGAGGAAGGUGGGGAUGACGUCAAGUCCUCAUGGCCCUUACACGCUGGGCUACACACGUGCUACAAUGGCGGUGACAGAGGGCUGCAAACCCGCGAGGGUGAGCUAAUCUCCAAAAGCCGUCUCAGUUCGGAUUGUUCUCUGCAACUCGAGAGCAUGAAGGCGGGAAUCAGCUAGUAAUCGCGGAUCAGCAUGCCGCGGUGAAUACGUUCCCAGGCCUUGUACACACCGCCCGUCACACCAUGGGAGUUGGUUUCACCCGAAGGCGUACGCUAACCCGCAAGGGAGGCAGGCGACCACGGUGGGAUCAGCGACUGGGGUGAAGUCGUAACAAGGUAGCCGUAGGGGAACNCUGCUGGCUGGAUCACCUCACUU